ensembl:lncRNA novel transcript
UUCUGAACAACCUCUGACCCAGCCACUUUUGAAGAUGCCAAAGAGAUGAGAAUCUGUCUAUGUUGCCCAGGCUGGUCUCCAACUCCUGACUUCAAGCAAUCCUCCUGCCUCAGCCUCCCAAAGUGCUGGGAUUACAGGCAUGAGCCACAGUGCCCAGCCCCACUCCCAUUUUCUGAAUCUUUCAGAAUUUCAGAUUGCCUUAAACUGCCCAAAAAAGCUGCUAUAAAACCUCAACAUAUCGCUGCUGCACAAAACCACCCAAACCAUCUUCAGACCUCUGCCCUCUGGCAUGUGAGUGGCCUGCAUUUCAGGAGGUGAAAGAUCAGACCUUUGUUAUUUGUUAAAGCACUCAGCAACCCAGAACUAAACAUGCACGCCGAUGUUGAUUUGAGAACUAAAGGAUAUCUUUCAAGUCCAAUAAAUGUGAUAAAAAUAAACAACAUCCUUUCAUAA